rnacentral:rRNA from 1 species
AUGCGAUCAUACCAGCACUAAAGCACCGGAUCCCAUCAGAACUUCGAAGUUAAGCGUGCUUGGGCGAGAGUAGUACUAGGAUGGGUGACCUCCUGGGAAGUCCUCGUGUUGCAUUCCCC